GGUCUGCUGGGUCCCCCGGCGUGCUGGGUCAGGCUCCUGGGAAAUGGGGAGCGAGGCCAGAUUUGCGGGAGGUCCAGACAGGAGCUGGGAGCGUUCUGUCUGGGGCAUCAGGCCCCGGAGACAGGACCACAAAGUUAUCCUGCUGCUUCCCACUCAUCCUUUGGAAUGACCACAGAUUUGCCUUUGCCCUGAAGACAGGAAAACCUGAAGCAUCACGAGGGACAGAAGCUUCAGGAUUUUCUGAAAAGUAAAUGAGAACAGUUCAAGAAUAUGACCCCACGAACGGCAGAGUGAGAGAGUAAUGAACAGCCUGGAAAACAUCAGAGUGAGGCAUCUGUUUACCCUCCAGUAGGAAGAAAAUCAAGGAGAAAGGCAGUGGAUGUGAAAGGCAAAUCUGUUGGAAAAGGAGCCAGGGGAAAAGAAAUCACCUUCUCCACAAACCUGUGAUUAAUCUGAGGGACUCACUGCGCCGAGUGAGAAGCUUUGUGGGAAUUUCUUUUGAAAUUAGAAACCAGACUAAGAAAGUUGUUUGUACCACUGUAUUAUCCCCAAUUCCUGCAGUAAAUAACAGGGCUGUUUGGUGGAUGAAAGGAGCAGUGAGCAGCCAGGAAGCCUUCCAGUGCCUGGGCUGUCCUCCCACCAGCUGGGCACUGCACGUGGCAUUGCUGGCACCUCUUGGGUGCACCCUGGGCUCCUGCCAGCAGCUGCCUGAGCCCCUGAUCCCCCAGGCACAAGCACAGCCUGAACACUUGCACUCACCUGGUGCCUCAACCCGUGGAAGGUGUGGGGACAGCAGGGAGGCUCCUGCCUGUGUCACCCUGGGGAUGGCAGCCACCCUGCCCCGAGCAUGGCAGGUCCCUGCUGCCCCCCAGCAGUGAGCCCAGGCACAGGGCACAGCCUGGACAAGAUCUUCCAAACUUAGAAACUUGGUAGGUUUAAAAAGUCAUACUCUGCAGAGGGAAACAUCAGCCAGAGACACCAAAACAGAAGGGCAGACAUCUGCUCAGCCUCUCUGAAGGGUGACUGCGUGGGAGGUGAGCUCAUGUCGGUGCCAUCCCUGCUGGCCAGCACCUCUGGCUGCCUCUGUGCUCCCAGAUGAAGUGUGGACAGGCAGGAGAUGAGUGCUGCUGCCAGGUAGGAGGGCUCUGUCCCCGGGUUAUCCAGCAGGGCUUUGCUGCACUGCCUGCACCCCUGCUGGCUGGGGAGGGUCCUGAGAGCCCCAGAGCAUCCCCGGGGGGCUCAGGGUGCAGAGUCCCACAGCCAAGGCUGGCACCCUCAAAGGGCUUUAGCCUCUCCUCUCCUGUGCAGCCCCUGCCCUUCCUCUGUCAUCCUGCAACACUGGCCUGUCUGUCUGUCCUUCAGUACGCCUCCCCUGUCCUCUGACAGCCUCUACCAGCUUCUUCCUUUUUUAAUUUAAUUUUUAUUAGCACAUUUUGCAGCCUUGCAGCAGCCUGGGAAUACAAAGAGGACAGUGAGGACAGCCAGGCCUGGGCUGGCUCAGAGGGAGUCCUUGGCAUCCCGGGAGGAGGCAGCUGGACAGAUGCUGCUGCAGCCACCACACUGUCACUGUCACUGUCACUGUCCCUAUCUCCUCUUGGUUUGGUCGGGGCUGCCCGGGAAAACAGGAGAUUUUGCACAGCAGGAAAAUCCCAAAUUCCUGCUGCUUGGAUUCCCUGGGUAUUUUCACCCCACUGGUGGGGCAGGGACAUGGGUGAGGAGGAGAGUUAAAAUCAGCAGCAGAUGACAGAAAAUUCAUCCUGAUCAGGGAUGCGAGUGGCUAAAAAUAGCAGCAAGGUUCUCAGCUGUGACAAGAUACGCUGGGAUUUCUCCUGCUGACGGAUGUAUAAUGGAUAAGGACGCUGCACAUGCCACUGCUGGUGCCCCUUGGGUGUGCCCAGGGCUGUGCCUGCAUUUUGGGGAGCAGAGCUGACCCAGGGCUGUCUGUGUUUUGCUGGGUCAGCACACACUGAUUUUGGCCACUGUGCAUCU